rnacentral:rRNA from 1 species
UACGUAGGGGGCUAGCGUUGUCCGGAAUCAUUGGGCGUAAAGCGCGCGUAGGCGGCCCGGUAAGUCCGUUGUGAAAGUCAAAGGCUCAACCUUUGAAAGCCGAUGGAUACUGCCGGGCUGGAGUCCGGAAGAGGCGAGUGGAAUUCCUGGUGUAGCGGUGAAUGCGCAGAUAUCAGGAAGAACACCCGUGGCGAAGGCGGCUCUCUGGGACGGUACUGACGCUGAGACGCGAAAGCGUGGGGAGCGAACAGG